CAGCCGCCGCGGGAAUGCGUAGGUGGCAAGCGUUGUCCGGAAUUAUUGGGCGUAAAGGGCUCGCAGGCGGUUUCUUAAGUCUGAUGUGAAAGCCCCCGGCUCAACCGGGGAGGGUCAUUGGAAACUGGGAAACUUGAGUGCAGAAGAGGAGAGUGGAAUUCCACGUGUAGCGGUGAAAUGCGUAGAGAUGUGGAGGAACACCAGUGGCGAAGGCGACUCUCUGGUCUGUAACUGACGCUGAGGAGCGAAAGCGUGGGGAGCGAACAGGAUUAGAGACCCCCGUAGUCCCUGUCUCUUAUAC
rnacentral:rRNA from 1 species